GACUCAUCAGACGGUCUACAUUAGACCCGCUUCAUUAAGGGUAUUAUCGUAAUAAUUCGCUUUGAAUGACUACCUAGGAUUUCCUCCGUUUCUUUUUUUUCCUCUCUCUGUUUUCUUUAGAUUUUCUCUCUCUUCCUCUAAACUCUCUGUGAAGCGAUUUUCUUUGAUACGCUCUUCGAUUUCUUCCGUUUUGUUCAUCAAUUUCUCGCAUUUUCCUGUUAAGGCUGCAGCUGCUGCUCUGGAGGCCCUGCCAAGCCUGUAGCUGCUGCUCUACCAAUGCUGCCAAGGUUGCUGCUGCAGCUGUUGCCCCGACAUGGCCUGCUGCUGCAGCUGCUGUCCUGCCAUGGCUUGCUACUUCAGCUGCUACUUUUGCCCUGCCAAGGCUGUUGUUGCAACUGCUGCUUUGAUUUUCAUUUUUUGAUUUUAUCUUCUUUUUCAACAUGACCCUUCUCAUUGUGAACAUGGUCCUUUCUGCAUAUAUAAUAGGAUAGUAAUUAAUAUUUUCUUAUUUACUUUUGAGUAUUUUUAUUUACUUUUGUGAUUUUUCAGUAUAUAGCUUAGAAAAUAAAAAACGCUCAGUUGUGUCAACUAAUUAUUCUUACUCUAUAAUAGCCUACUAGCUUAAUAUGUAGAGCAUUGUGCAAGUGCACAAAAGAUGUGGGUUCGAAUCCUACGUAGGUUCUUCUAACGCCUCGAACCAUUGUAAUGUAAUUAUUAUUUUUAUAUACUUUUGAGUUUUUCUAA